rnacentral:lncRNA from 1 species
AUCAUGUCAGCUCUCACUCACUGGAUCUCAGAUCAGUGUUUGGUCUGGAGGUCAGAGUUCAUCUGUGAGAAUAAGCUGCUUCUACACUGUGAUGAAGGGACAAAUUAAAAAACCAUCUGCUCACUCUGAUCCAGUGACAGUUACAGUCCAGAUUUCAACAUCAACCAUUAAACAUACGAGUACAACAGCCACGACAACCUCUUUAACUGUAAUGUCCACUUCUGAAACCACAACAUACAGUAAAACUGUAGACCUUCAUUCCAAGACAAACCUUCCAACCAACACAGAAAAGGAAACAAUCUAUCUAUGGUUUAUAGUGCUGGUUUUCACUGGUGUUGCUGUCAUUUUGUCUGGACUCAUGGGACUCAUCUGUCUCUGCCGGUUUGCAAGUAAAAAGAGAAGAAAACGGUAAGUUUUAUAUUCAUUCAAUUUAGUAGUAGGCCUAUAUGUUUGUUAGUAGUCUAUAUUGUAGUCCAGG